rnacentral:rRNA from 1 species
AGGUGUGAUCAUACCACUGUAAUGCACCGGAUCCCAUUGGAACUUCAUAGUUAAGCGCACUUCGGAUAGAGUAGUACUGGAUGGGUGACCUCACGGGAAGUCCUAGUGUUUCACCCU